GUACUCGUUGAGCGCUCGUUCCAGAGCGAUUUGCUCCUCCGCCGACCACUCCAUCGCCAGGCCCGGGUCGUGCUUCAGAGCCCCGCCUCCUCCGCCAUGGCCGCCGGAUGGGCUCGCGCUCGCGGGCAUCUAGGGUUUCGAGAGCGAGAGAGAGAGAAAGAGAGAGAGAGAGUGUGUGUUUUAUUAUUAUUAUUAUUAUUAUUAUUAUUAUUAUUUAAUGGCCAAUUUGCAUAAAAAAUCCACUAGUUUUGGGGUUUUGCAAAACCGGGACAUCUUUUUCGUUUUUACAGAUUCGGUCCACUUUUUCAGCAACCUGACCAAAAUACCCUUGUGCCUUUUUCUCUCUCCUCUUUUUUUUUCUCUCGUUUUUUUUUUUUUUUUUUUUUUUUUUUUUUUUUUUUUUUUUUCCAGGAGAGUGGCGAAGGCAGAAACGCCACACCCCCUGCCCCGGCGACGUCGCCCUCGCUCGCUUCUGUGACGUCGCCGACGACGAGCCUGCCUCCCCCGCCUCGGCCUCUCCCUCGACCUCUCCUCCUACCACGGCACGCAUCCGUCACAGCCACGCACACCACGCACUCCAACCCACCCACCACAGACAUCGUCGACGACGACGACGACGACGACGAUGGUGGAGACGAAGAUGGAGAAGGGGAAACGGAGAGGAUCAAAAGCGCGUUGAGCGCGGGCGCGCUGCGGGCGGCGGCACGCGGGCGCGCUGCAGCUGUUUCUUCUUCGUCGUAAUGGUGUAAUGGUGCACCAUUACACCAUUAAUGGUGUAAUGGUGUAAUUACACCAUUAAUGGUGCAAUGGUGUAAUUACACCAUUAAUGGUGCAAUGGUUACACCAUUAAUGGUGAUAGCGAAGAGCCGGGCCAAAGGGACGACGCGGUUGACGAGAUAUCGACGAGGCCGUCCGCGUAGACGCCGAGUAUGGCGCAGCACGCGCGGGGGAUGGGGGCGAACUCUGCGGCCGAGGACAGGGGCCACGACUCGCUGUCGUAGGAGCCGACGUAGUUGAGGCGCUUCCACGCCCAGCGCGAGCACCCCACGCACACCACGCACUCCAACCCACGCUGACGGCGAGCGCGAGCACCCCACGCUGACGGCGAGCAUGAAGCAGGCUCGCGCGCUGCGGGCGGCGGGCGCGCGGGCACGCAGCGGCGGCGGGCGAUGGUGUAAUGGUGCACCAUUACACCAUUAAUGGUGUAAUGGUGUAAUUACACCAUUAAUGGUGCAAUGGUUACACCAUUAAUGGUGUAAUUUCACCAUUAAUGGUGUAAUGGUGCACCAUUAAUGGUGGCAGCGAAGAGCCGGGCCAGAGGGACGACGCGGUUGACGAGGUAUCGACGAGGCCCGUGGGUAAAGGGCGCGACAGCGAAGAGGGAGAAUGAGGAGCCGGCGGCNAGCGAUUUGCUCCUCCGCCGACCACUGCAUCGCCAGGCCCGGGUCGUGCUUCAGAGCCCCGCCUCCUCCGCCGUCGCCGCCUCCUCCUCCGCCGCCGCCGCUGCCACGGCCGCCUCGGCGGGGGUCGCUCCCGCCAUGGCCGCCGGAUGGGCUCGCGCUCGCGGGCAUCUAGGGUUUCGA
rnacentral:lncRNA from 1 species